GCCUUACUAGUUCAUAAUUCAAACCAUACCCAAGUAUUUUCAUCUUGAACAAAAGGUUGUUACUCCAAAAGUGCUGCCUGUGCUGUGCACCUAUAAUGAUAAA